UACGUAGGGUGCAAGCGUUGUCCGGAAUUAUUGGGCGUAAAGAGCUCGUAGGCGGUCUGUCGCGUCUGCUGUGAAAACUCGGGGCUUAACCCCGGGCCUGCAGUGGGUACGGGCAGACUAGAGUGCGGUAGGGGAGACUGGAAUUCCCGGUGUAGCGGUGAAAUGCGCAGAUAUCAGGAGGAACACCAACGGCGAAGGCAGCACUCUGGGCCGGUACUGACGCUGAGGAGCGAAAGCGUGGGGAGCAAACAGG
rnacentral:rRNA from 1 species